UCAGUAUUGGCUUGGUAGAUAGAGGUAGCCAGCUCCCAAGUGCUGUCAAGUACGUCCUAACUAAUCAAGCGAAGAUCAAGAUUGCCGCAGUACCAUGGCCUGGCAGCCAACGAUGGCCACAGCAUAUACGUGCUUUCGGCCAUUGUCGUCGCCGGCAGGGGAUCAGCUGCGACGGCCGGCUCGCUGCUCAUCAGCGCCCCAUCGGCGGUCAGCCAACUACCCUCCCAACUCCUGGGACUACGACUCCCUUCUACUGUCUCUCAACAACCCCCGCCAUGAUCUGGUCGGCGGUCCAGGGAGCUUUGACAAGUUAAAGGCUGGCGUGAGGGAACGGCUGGUGGCGGCGGGAAGGGGUGACGACCAGCCUGCAAUGCUCAGACUCAUCGACACAAUGCAACGGCUCGGUUUCGCCUAUGUUAGAAUUAGAGAUAGAUUGUCAUCUCAACUGUUUAUCUUCUCCUCUCUCCCGUAACAACAUGUAUCUCUAUCCUUAUGUACCGGACCUGUAUCCUAGCGAUUUGGUUCAACUUGUAAGCCAUGGCAAGGGCCCUUCUUGUCCUCGAUCAAUAUAAGCUCACGCGGCUCUUCACGGAGAGUAGGAACGCUUCCAUC